AACCUGACGCGGGGCUUGAACCCAUGAACCGUGAGAUCAUGACCUGCGCCGACAUCAAGAGUCGCCACCAAGACCCGCCCCUCCGAUGGCAAUCUGGCAAUACGGAGACGAGCUGCAUGACCCAGCGAUCCGCGCUCAGGACGGACCCUAGAGAAACGCACACGUAUGUACCCGGAGGCAGUGUAAGAAGGCUGGCCGCGGCCUGGUCUGUCGUGACGAAAAUUCCAAGCAACCGAAAUACCCCAGGAUGCAAGCCCUGAUGGCCCACAAGAGGGAGAUCUAGAACAGUUCAGCAACCAGAUGUGUAACUGUAUAAACCGAUCUAAGGACACACAGCAUCUUGGGAAGCUUUGCAGGAGCAAAGGGCGCUGAUAGAGGCUCCCGCCUGCCCUCUGUCUAAGGCAAGCACCCUUUGAACGCGUUCAGAAAUCUGCAGAGCAACCGCUCACGGUGAAGAAGACAUACCACAGGGUGCGAUGGUAAACUGAACGGUGUUUAAAACGUGCGGUUUAAUGAGAUGGUUGCAGAGUAAAAAGCAACAUGGCAGCAAGAGGAAAAUCGAUCAGUGGAGUGCAGAAGCACAGGGGACAGACAGUGUCCUCGGGGACCUGUGGCCAGGUGCUUGGGGUCUGCGACCUUGGAAGGGCCCAGGAAACCCGAAGCUCCUGCUGCUUGUUCACGGAACACUGAGAAAUGCGGACAUAGCUGUUCUUAUCACUGCAGCUACAAACAGUACGGCUAGUGAUAAGCAUGGCUAUCUUACAGCUGUCAUUCAAACUUACCAUUAGAAGCUUCCCCUAUAAAGAUUAUAACCGGGUACAGUGAGUUUCAAGCUUUUCUGUGAACAUUUCUGCUACUUGUUCAUUCCUUUCAAUCAGGUGCCAAAGGUUUUAUCAAAAAUUGUGAAGGGUACAUAAAUUAAGAAUAGUCAUUGGCUGGGGCGCCUGGGUGGCUCAGUCGGUUGAGUGUCUGACUUUAGCUCAGGUCAUGAUCUCACGGUCCAUGA